GUGAGUCAUCGAAUCUUUGAACGCACCUUGCGCUCCCUGGUAUUCCGGGGAGCAUGUCUGUUUGAGUGUCAUGAACUCUUCAACCCACCAGUUUCUUGUAGACUGAUUGGUGUUUGGAUUUUGAGCGCUGCUGGUCCUCGGACCUAGCUCGUUCGUAAUAAAUUAGCAUCUCUAAUUCGAACUCGGAUUGACUCGGCGUAAUAGACUAUUCGCUAAGGAUUCAAUGUUCGCAUUGAGCCAACUUAAUUAUGGAAGCUUCUAAUUGAAAAGUCUACCCUUAGAUUAGAUCUCAAAUCAGGCAGGAUUACCCGCUGAACUUAA
rnacentral:rRNA from 1 species